rnacentral:rRNA from 1 species
GACGAACGCUGGCGGCGUGCUUAACACAUGCAAGUCGAACGGAAAGGCCCUGCUUUUGCGGGGUGCUCGAGUGGCGAUCGGGUGCGUAACACGUGAGUAACCUGCCCUUGACUUUGGGAUAACUUCAGGAAACUGGGGCUAAUACCGGCUAGGAGCUCCUGCUGUUUGGUAGGGGUUGGUAAGUUUCGGAAGUUGGGGAUGGACUCGCGGCGUAUCAGCUUGUUGGUGGGGUAGUGGCUUACCAAGGCUUUGACGGGUAGCCGGCCUGAGAGGGGGACCGGCCACAUUGGGACUGAGAUACGGCCCAGACUCCUCCGGGAGGCAGCAGUGGGGAAUAUUGCACAAUGGGCGGAAGCCUGAUGCAGCAACGCCGCGUGCGGGAUGACGGCCUUCGGGUUGUAAACCGCUUUCGCCUGUGACGAAGCGUGAGUGACGGUAAUGGGUAAAGAAGCACCGGCUAACUACGUG